rnacentral:rRNA from 1 species
CGCGCAGGCGGUCUAUCAAGUCUGAUGUGAAAGCCCGGGGCUCAACCUCGGAACUGCAUUGGAAACUGGUAGACUUGAAUACGAGAGGGGUCAGUGGAAUUCCUGGUGUAGGAGUGAAAUCCGUAGAGAUCAGGAGGAACACCGGUGGCGAAGGCGACUGACUGGAUCGGUAUUGACGCUGAGGCGCGAAAGCGUGGGGAGCAAACA